rnacentral:misc_RNA from 1 species
UCACUACUUGCGUAGGCAGUCUGGCUAGAGUCCCCACCAUCACGUGCUGGUAACUAACCACAGGGGUUGCGCUCGUUGCGCCACUUAACCCAACAUCUCACGGCACGAGCUGACGACAGCCAUGCAGCACCUUCUCACCGGCUCUCUUGCGAGCACCCCCAUAUCUCUACAGGGUUCCGGUGGAUUUAACCCAGGUAAGGUUCUGCGCGUUGCGUCGAAUUGAACCACAUGCUCCACCGCUUGUGCGGGCCCCCGUCAAUUCCUUUGAGUUUUAGCCUUGCGGCCGUACUCCCCAGGCGGGAUGCUUAACGCGUUAGCUACGUUGCCGCAGGGGUCAAUACCCGCGACGACUAGCAUCCAUCGUUUACGGCGUGGACUAC